GAUGAACGCUGGCGGCGUGCCUAAUACAUGCAAGUCGAGCGAACAGACGAGGAGCUUGCUCCUCUGACGUUAGCGGCGGACGGGUGAGUAACACGUGGAUAACCUACCUAUAAGACUGGGAUAACUUCGGGAAACCGGAGCUAAUACCGGAUAAUAUAUUGAACCGCAUGGUUCAAUAGUGAAAGACGGUUUUGCUGUCACUUAUAGAUGGAUCCGCGCCGCAUGAGCUAGUUGGUAAGGUAACGGCUUACCAAGGCGACGAUGCGUAGCCGACGUGAGAGGGUGAUCGCCCACCCUGGAACUGGGACACGGUCCAGACGCCUACGGGAGGCAGCAGUAGGGAAUCUGCCGCAAUGGGCGAAAGCCUGACGGAGCAACGCCGCGUGAGUGAUGAAGGUCUUCGGAUCGUAAAGCUCUGUUAUGAGGGAAGAACAAAUGUGUAAGUAACUAUGCACGUCUUGACGGUACCUAAUCAGAAAGCCACGGCUAACUACGUG
rnacentral:rRNA from 1 species